rnacentral:tRNA from 2 species
GCCAGGAUGGCCUAAUCGGUUAAGGCGUCGCCCCGGAUAGGCGGAGGUUGCGGGUUUGAUCCCCACACCUGGCC